rnacentral:rRNA from 1 species
UGGCGGACGGGUGAGUAAUGUCUGGGAAACUGCCCGAUGGAGGGGGAUAACUACUGGAAACGGUAGCUAAUACCGCAUAACGUCGCAAGACCAAAGAGGGGACCUUCGGGCCUCUUGCCAUCGGAUGUGCCCAGAUGGGAUUAGCUAGUAGGUGAGGUAACGGCUUACCUAGGCGACGAUCCCUAGCUGGUCUGGGAGGAUGAUCAGCCACACUGGGACUGAGACACGGCCCAG